GAUGAACGCUAGCGGCAGGCCUAAUACAUGCAAGUCGAACGGUGUCUUCGGACAUAGUGGCGCACGGGUGCGUAACACGUAUGCAACCUACCUUACAUUGGGGGAUAGCCUUUCGAAAGGGAGAUUAAUACCGCAUAAGACAGUAGCUGGGCAUCCAGCAGCUGUUAAAGAUUUAUCGAUGUAAGCUGGGCAUGCGUCCAAUUAGCUAGUUGGUGAGGUAACGGCUCACCAAGGCCAUGAUUGGUAGGGGAGCUGAGAGGUCAAUCCCCCACACUGGCACUGAGAUCCGGGCCAGACUCCACCGGGAGGCAGCAGUAGGGAAUAUUGGGCAAUGGACGUAAGUCGGACCCAGCCAUGCCGCGUGCAGGAUGAAGGCGUUAUGCGUUGUAAACUGCUUUUAUACAGGAAGAAACGACUCUUGCGAGAGGCAUUGACGGUACUGUAUGAAUAAGCACCGGCUAACUCCGUGCCAGCCGCCGCCGUAACAC
rnacentral:rRNA from 1 species